rnacentral:rRNA from 1 species
AAUAGCCUAACGGCUGAACCAGCAACUUGGAGGAAUGUAUAGCAAUAGCUACUUGCACCAUUAUAAAUAUGAUGCAAGAUCGACUAUGUCGAAUAAAAUUCUAGGUAGAAUUAUGAUAAUGACAUUAUCUGCCUAUGUGUCUUGACCAAAUUACGUGCCAGCAGUCGCGGUAAUACGUAGAAGACUAGUGUUAUUCAUGUUUAAUCGGUUUAAAGGGUACCUAGACGGUAAAUCAAGCCUACAUAAAAUCAAMAAAAAAAGGGACUAAUUUACUAGAGUUACUKGUGAGGGGGUAUUAAAGUACUGCUGGUGUAGAGAUGAAAUUCUGUCAUACCUCUUUUCAAUAGAAAAAUUAUGGCACAGGUAUAGGCGAAGGCAUCCCCUUAUGUGAUAACUGACGUUGAGGGACGAAGGCUUUGUGUAUCGAACAGGAUUAGGUACCCAAGUAGUCAAAGCAGAAAAUGAUGAAUGUCAUAGAUUAGAUAAAUAAGUUUAUUCUAUAAAUGAAAGUGUAAGCAUUCCACCUCAAGAGUAAUUUGGCAACAUUGGAACUGAAAUCAUUAGACCGUUUCUGAAACCAGUAGUGAAGUAUGUUGUUUAAUUAGAUAAUACGCAAAAAACCUUACCACAAUUUGAAUAUUUAUAUUAUUUGUUGUUUUCUUAAAGGUAAUAAGAGGCAAUAAGAUAUAUUUACAAGUGUUGCACGGCUGUCUUCAGUUAAUGUCGUGAGACUAUGGUUAGUUCCAUUAAAUUAACGUAAACCCUUACUUUAUUUUUAGAUAGAGUUGUUCCCCACUAUAUUGGAUAUGAUAACAGGGACUAGGACAAGU